GCCAGGCACGGUGGCUCAUGCCUGUAAUCCCAGCACCUUGGGAGGCCGAGGUGGGAGGAUCACCUGAGGUCAGGAGUUUGAGUACAGCCUGGCCAACAUGGUGAAACCCCGCCUCUA
ensembl:misc_RNA Metazoa_SRP Metazoan signal recognition particle RNA